CGAUAACGAACGAGACCUUAACCUGCUAAAUAGUUAGGCCAACGUUUGUUGGUCGUCAACUUCUUAGAGGGACUAUUGACUAUUAGUCAAUGGAAGUUUGAGGCAAUAACAGGUCUGUGAUGCCCUUAGAUGUUCUGGGCCGCACGCGCGCUACACUGAUCAAGUCAACGAGUUUACAACCUUGGCCGGAAGGUCUGGGUAAUCUUUUGAAACUUGACCGUGCUGGGGAUAGUCCAUUGCAAUUAUUGGACUUCAACGAGGAAUUCCUAGUAAGCGUGAGUCAUCAGCUCGCGUUGAUUACGUCCCUGCCCUUUGUACACACCGCCCGUCGCUACUACCGAUUGAAUGGCU
rnacentral:rRNA from 1 species